AAUCUUGCCGAAAAAUUUCGCCGCCUCCAACAGUAGCCGCGCGUGAGCCAUACGCGCCGCCAGAGGCAUUUUCGUAAAUUUUUGAUAAAUCUGAGGGUAUUUC